CUGCUAUUGGUCAGGCUCGGCAAUAGGCACAUCCUAUACACCUGGUGAUGCGCGCUCAGCCCCGCAUCCCGGGCCGGAGUCGGGGCACAUAAGCCGGGAGCGGGGAUCAGUCAGGCCUCUUCCCGGCGCCAGCCCCGGGCUGGGAGCUCAGGCGAGCGCGAUGCCAGCCUUAGGAUCCCAGAAUGACAGAAGCGACUACAAACACUCGGGAAGAGCAAGCACAAGGAGAGGAACGAGCGAGAGAAAAGAGUUUUGCUGAAGCAUCAUUACUAUGAUGGCACGUUACCUGCUGGCGCUGCAGGACAUGCAGGACAGCUUGCACACCAGAAUUCAAACUCCAGUCCAUCACCUCUGACAGUUUUGAAUCCCUGUGCCAGAAACCCUUGGAAGACAGCAUGAGAAAGAGGAUUAACUGCAUAGGUCCUUAUGUUCUUGGUGGCUGUCUCUUCCAAAGUGCCGUUGGAAAAGCACAUAGCUGUCGCUCACAGUAAAAUGGUUUGGGUGUUUGGUGUUUCAGGAAGAAGGUAACUCAAUACAUUAUAUGGGGGGAGAGGGGGCUCUGUGCUGUCAAUAUUGACCAAGAACCACCUUGAUGAUGCCCUCGUGCUAAGGAGUUGUGAGCUAUCUCAUAACAACACUUUGUUGGCAUCUGUACUGAACUCCUGUGUGAGGGAGUGCAGAGCAUGCAGGCAAGAGAGAAGCCCAAGCUCCACAGAAGAGACAAAAUAUCAAAAGCAGUGAAGAAAUUAUAGUAAAGCAAUUUACAUUGGGAUGUUCACUGUUUUGCACGUAUCCUUUUCCAGUAGCUGAAAAGCAGUUUUGCCCUUCCGUCUCAAUACAGCAGUGGUCCCAAAGAUGCCUUUCUCAAACCCCAAAAGUGCCCACAGCAUUAAAAAUCUGCACAAUUAACUGCUGAUUAAUGGAGCUAGAAGUGACCCAUUUUGACAAAGGGGAUCAGAGAGGGUGCCAGAGAAACUGGAGGUGACAGCCAGUGCCCCAGCUCUUUCAUUCCAGAAAAUUGCAGGAACAAAUAGUUCCAGCAUGGUUAUCCUCACAAAGAGAAGUGGGGAGCAGUGGUGAGAGCUGCAUGGUGAGGAGGAAAGACAUUUCAAUUCUCUCUUCCCUUUUCUCAUCUCAACUCACUAACACCAUAUGUAACAGGUUUAGGUUUUGUUUAAAUUGUGGGACUGUGAAAAAUUCCUGACUGUAAAGCUGUAACAAUAAGAAGUACUUGUGAUAUUUUGAAAAUAUUUUUUUUUUAGCUAAAAAAAAAGAUAUAUGCAGAAAAGUUUGUACUAGAACAGCAAAUUAAAACUUUUUCAGUAUAGAGUCAGGAUUUUUAUUUUCCUAAUGUAAUAAAAGAUGUGACAAAA